AUUGAACGCUGGCGGCAGGCCUAACACAUGCAAGUCGAACGGUAACAGGAAACAGCUUGCUGUUUCGCUGACGAGUGGCGGACGGGUGAGUAAUGUCUGGGAAACUGCCUGAUGGAGGGGGAUAACUACUGGAAACGGUAGCUAAUACCGCAUAACGUCGCAAGACCAAAGAGGGGGACCCUCGGGCCUCUUGCCAUCGGAUGUGCCCAGAUGGGAUUAGCUUGUUGGUGGGGUAACGGCUCACCAAGGCGACGAUCCCUAGCUGGUCUGAGAGGAUGACCAGCCACACUGGAACUGAGACACGGUCCAGACUCCUACGGGAGGCAGCAGUGGGGAAUAUUGCACAAUGGGCGCAAGCCUGAUGCAGCCAUGCCGCGUGUAUGAAGAAGGCCUUCGGGUUGUAAAGUACUUUCAGCGGGGGGGAAGGGAGUAAAGUUAAUACCUUUGCUCAUUGACGUUACCCGCAGAAGAAGCACCGGCUAACUCCGUGCCAGCAGCCGCGGUAAUACGGAGGGUGCAAGCGUUAAUCGGAAUUACUGGGCGUAAAGCGCACGCAGGCGGUUUGUUAAGUCAGAUGUGAAAUCCCCGGGCUCAACCUGGGAACUGCAUCUGAUACUGGCAAGCUUGAGUCUCGUAGAGGGGGGUAGAAUUCCAGGUGUAGCGGUGAAAUGCGUAGAGAUCUGGAGGAAUACCGGUGGCGAAGGCGGCCCCCUGGACGAAGACUGACGCUCAGGUGCGAAAGCGUGGGGAGCAAACAGGAUUAGAUACCCUGGUAGUCCACGCCGUAAACGAUGUCGACUUGGAGGUUGUGCCCUUGAGGCGUGGCUUCCGGAGCUAACGCGUUAAGUCGACCGCCUGGGGAGUACGGCCGCAAGGUUAAAACUCAAAUGAAUUGACGGGGGCCCGCACAAGCGGUGGAGCAUGUGGUUUAAUUCGAUGCAACGCGAAGAACCUUACCUGGUCUUGACAUCCACGGAAGUUUUCAGAGAUGAGAAUGUGCCUUCGGGAACCGUGAGACAGGUGCUGCAUGGCUGUCGUCAGCUCGUGUUGUGAAAUGUUGGGUUAAGUCCCGCAACGAGCGCAACCCUUAUCCUUUGUUGCCAGCGGUCCGGCCGGGAACUCAAAGGAGACUGCCAGUGAUAAACUGGAGGAAGGUGGGGAUGACGUCAAGUCAUCAUGGCCCUUACGACCAGGGCUACACACGUGCUACAAUGGCGCAUACAAAGAGAAGCGACCUCGCGAGAGCAAGCGGACCUCAUAAAGUGCGUCGUAGUCCGGAUUGGAGUCUGCAACUCGACUCCAUGAAGUCGGAAUCGCUAGUAAUCGUGGAUCAGAAUGCCACGGUGAAUACGUUCCCGGGCCU
rnacentral:rRNA from 1 species